rnacentral:rRNA from 1 species
CCUACGGGGGGCAGCAGUGAGGCAUAUUGGUCACUGGGCGAGAGCCUGAACCAGCCAAGUCGCGUGAAGGAUGACGGCCCUACGUGUUGUAAACUUCUUUUGUCAGGGAGCAAUUGGGUCCACGCGUGGGCUUAGCGAGAGUACCUGAAGAAAAAGCAUCGGCUAACUCCGUGCCAGCAGCCGCGGUAAUACGGAGGAUCCGAGAGUUAUCCGGAUUUAUUGGGUUUGAGGGGAGCGUAGAUGGGUUGUUGAGUCAGUUGGGAAAGUUUGCGGCUAAACCGUAAAAUUGCAAUUGAUACUGGCAGUCUUGAGUACAGUUGAGGUAGGCGGAAUUCGUGGUGUAGCGGUGAAAUGCUUAGAUAUCACGAAGAACUCCGAUUGCGAAGGCAGCUUACUAAACUGCCACUGACAUUGAUGCUCGAAAGUGUGGGUAUCAAACAGGAUUAGAUACCCCAGUAGGC